CAACAGGGAUUGCCCUAGUAACGGCGAGUGAAGCGGCAACAGCUCAAAUUUGAAAUCUGGCGUCUUUGGCGUCCGAGUUGUAAUUUGCAGAGGGCGCUUUGGCAUUGGCAGCGGUCCAAGUUCCUUGGAACAGGACGUCACAGAGGGUGAGAAUCCCGUACGUGGUCGCUAGCCUUUACCGUGUAAAGCCCCUUCGACGAGUCGAGUUGUUUGGGAAUGCAGCUCUAAAUGGGAGGUAAAUUUCUUCUAAAGCUAAAUACUGGCCAGAGACCGAUAGCGCACAAGUAGAGUGAUCGAAAGAUGAAAAGCACUUUGGAAAGAGAGUUAAAAAGCACGUGAAAUUGUUGAAAGGGAAGCGCUUGCAGCCAGACUUGCCUGUAGUUGCUCAUCCGGGUUUUUACCCGGUGCACUCUUCUAUAGGCAGGCCAGCAUCAGUUUGGGCGGUUGGAUAAAGGUCUCUGUCACGUACCUCCUCUCGGGGAGAACUUAUAGGGGAGACGUAAUGCAACCAGCCUGGACUGAGGUCCGCGCAUCUGCUAGGAUGCUGGCGUAAUGGCUGUAAGCGGCCCGUCUUGAAACACGGACCAAGGAGUCUAACAUCUAUGCGAGUGUUUGGGUGUCAAGCCCGAGCGCGUAAUGAAAGUGAACGGAGGUGGGAACCUUUCGGGGUGCACCAUCGACCGAUCCUGAUGUCUUCGGAUGGAUUUGAGUAAGAGCAUAGCUGUUGGGACCCGAAAGAUGGUGAACUAUGCUUGAAUAGGGUGAAGCCAGAGGAAACUCUGGUGGAGGCUCGCAGCGGUUCUGACGUGCAAAUCGAUCGUCAAAUUUGGGCAUAGGGGCGAAAGACUAAUCGAACUAUCUAG
rnacentral:rRNA from 1 species